UGUGAUAUUGCUCAGUUGGUAGAGUGCUUGCCUUGCAUGCACAAGGCCCUGGGUUCAAUCCCCAGCACCACAC
rnacentral:tRNA from 1 species